rnacentral:rRNA from 1 species
CGAAGGGCGUAGCGUUGCUCGGAAUGACUGGGCGUAAAGGGCGCGUAGGCGGCACACACAGUCAGGCGUGAAAUUCCUGGGGCUUAACCUGGGGGCGUGCGUUUUGAGACGUGUGAGCUAGAGGAUGGAAGAGGCUCGUGGAAUUCCCAGUGUAGAGGUGAAAUUCGUAGAUAUUGGGAAGAACACCGGUGGCGAAGGCGGCGAGCUGGUCCAUUACUGACGCUGAGGCGCGAAAGCGUGGGAGCAAACAGGAUU